rnacentral:lncRNA from 1 species
CAACUAUAAUUGAAAAAAUAAAAAUCAUUAUAAAAAAAAAGUUCGGCUUCCUAAUCAGAGCCCUUUGAGUAAACAUUUCAUUCUCCAGAGUUCUGCCCACUGGCCAUUCUCCACCCCUAAAUCUUGUUCAGUCAGGGCAGGGUUGGUUGGUUGGUUUGUAUGUUUGCUUUUAUAUCAUUUAGCUCAAAAUCCUUAGCAGCCUAGAACCAUGUCGCAAAUAAUUGAUGCUUAAUGCCUGUUACUGACAGCUUAAUAAGAAAGCUUACUUUGUGGGAGUCAGAGCGAAGAGGCCAACUGUGUGGCCAUCCCCGUUGAUGUCUGUGCUGUGUCUGCUUCACUGUCUUGUCUGGAACAUAUGCUGGAAUUGUCCACUGAGGUGUAUCUAGUACUGUCUGUCCUUUGGAAGUCAUGUACAGGAACCCACCAUGGCAGUUGUGGUCGUCUGUCUCAAAGUCCCUGAGCACAGAGAACUCUGCUCCAACGGCACACCUCUGCUGGUCUCCCAGUCUCUUAGCAACAACUAGAUGCCCUGCAUGCCAUGCUCAGGCUUUAGGAAACGAGCAGGGCUGCCCCAGCUCAUCUUUCUGACCUUCUCCUGCUGCUGCAGGCAAGGCCUUGCUCGCAUACCAUGUAUUGGCACAGGGCUGAAGAUUGAACCUCAGUGACCUGAAGGCCACCCCAUGUUAUGUAUGGAAACUGGAGUCUCAGUAUUUCUGAAGCGCCAUUGCUCCCUGAGUUCGAGAAGGAAUGUGUAUGUGAAGGGGACUCUGUCCUUGUUGACCUGUUCUACCCCCUUCCUCCCUCUUAAGGCCAGACGAGGCGGGCUUCUCUUUGACUUCCGCUUCCAUGGCUGAGGCUUCUCCUCUAUCACAUCCUCCUUUCCAAGCCAAGCUUCGCUGCGAAGAAGGAGGCGCUUUAUAGAUGGAGCACGUGAAAAGAAACUGCUCUGUCAACAGGGGAACACAAAUUAGGAAGCAUUUCAAAAAUAGGUUAACAGUUAUUCUCCCUUAUAUCGAUGCCCAAGUAAAAUGACCUCAGCUCGUUAGACCAGCUUCCUUCUACCAGAUGUAUUUUCACAGCUCCGCUACCCCAGGGGCACUUGGAGAGUCCGUCUUGGGAAGGCGUGAGUGCAUUGUCAGCACUCUUUAAGUGCUGCCCUGUCCUUGUUGCUGACUAUAAAAAAGUGAAUCCUUGAGUGUCAGCUUUCUCUUCAGUCGAAUUGAGAUUUGGUGCUGGUCUUCUGAUUGACAGCUGUCACAAGUUUAGCACGACUGUUAAAUGAAAGCUUCGACCAUAUGCAUGGAAACCAGUUUCCCGUCCCAUUCUUCCUGAAGGUUCCUAACACUGUUUCCAGAGGACCUGGGGAGCUUUAAAAAAUACAGAUGCCAACCUGCUAUGGUCUAAAUAGAUCAGAACCUCUGACGGAUGGGGCCCAGGGAUAUGUGUAAAAAGUUAAUUCAUGUGAUUUGUGCACCCCCUGAUUAAAAAUCUCUGCAAAGAAAAAGGCUGAAUAUGCAAAUACAUUGUAGUGUGCUGGGAGCAAGUCCUUUGGUGAGACUGUCUGAGGCUUUUGUUUAAGUUGGACUUGACCGAGUUAGAAGUCUCUUUAUUUAUAGCUUGCUGUUGUGGGCUCCAAGGUAAUAGCCUUGCCAAGCCCUGUUUCUCAUCCAAGCCCUUUGUAAGCUGAGGGGACAGAUGCGCAAUGCCUCCUUGCUUGCAUGCACGUCCUGAUCAGGGUUUUCUAUGAACUGGAUUUGUGGUCACUGAGCCUUGAGCCAGCAAGUGCUAUAUGCUCUUUUGUUAUUGCACUUGACGUGCAUGGUGCUAAAUGUAAACUGUCUGUCUAAAGCUGCCUGAUCCUAAAUUGAUGAAUCUGUGUCAUGGUGGAUACAAAGGGAUCUAUAUUAUCCCGAAGAGAACAAAACGGCAUUAUCUUAUCCUUGUAGGAAGUUAUUGUGCAAUGAAUGCUUAAAAUGUCUGCCAGGUGCAAGGACCUGUGCCAGGCAGGGUGAGGGAUGAGUAGUUUAACAGGAAUAAUAUGAAAGGGAUAGUAUCAGAAACCCCUGAGGAUUUGGGUCAAAGGGGCUUGAACUUUAUGUCUCAGGUUUUUAUAUAUAUAUAUAUAUUUUUUUUUUUAGCUUUAUUAAGAUAUCAUUAACAUACCAUAAAAUUUGCCAUUUUAGUGUUCAAUUCAGUUUUUUUAGUAUAGUUCACAAAGUUGUACAACCAGGAGUUCCCAUUGCAGCUCAGUGGGUGGAAAACUCAACAUAGGGUCCAUGAGGAUGCGGAUUUGAUCCUUGGCCUCGCUCGGUGGGUUGAGGAUCCAGUGUUGCCACAAGCCGUGGUGUAGCCUGCAGAUGCAGCUUGGAUCCGGCGUUGCUGUGACUGUGGUUUAGGCCUGCCUGUGGUUGCAGCUCCAGUUCAGCCCCUAGCCCGGGAACUUCCAUAUGCUGCAACUGCAGUUGUGGAAAGUAAAAAAGGAUUUUUUUGUUUCUUUUUUUUUUUUUUUAAAGUUGGACAGCUAUCACCACUAUCUAAUUCCAGAAUAUUCUUGCCCCAAAAGAAAACUCCAUACCCAUGAAGCAGCCGCUCUUCACUCCCUCCUCCCCAAAACUCAGGGCAACCACCCGUGCGUUCUGUCUCUGUGGACUUGCCUAUUCUGGAUAUUUCAUAAAAAUGGAAUCAUAUGCUCUACAGCCUUUUAUGUCCAGCUCCUUUCACUGGGCAUAAAGAUUUCCAGGCUCAUCUGUGCUAUAGCAUUUAUGGACUUCAUUCUUUUCUGUAUGAAUAAUAAUCCAUUGUGUGAAUACAUCACAUUUUGUUUAAAAGUUUAACGUAAUUGUUGAAAUGAAUGCUUGGGUGAUUUGAAUGGAAACCAGUUUCCCAUCCCAUUCUUUCUCUAAAGACCCAGUGGAAUUGUUAGGUCAUAUGGUAACUCUGUGUUUAACUUUUUAAGGAGCUGCCAAAUGGUUUGUCUUAUUUUUUUAUAAGAAGAAUAUAUUCAUGUACUAUUUUUGUAGUUAUGAAUCAAUUUUUAAAUUACUUUAAAAAUAGACCAGAAAGUAUUAGAGGGGAUGCUAAGAAGUGUGUAUAUCCAGUGCUAAUUGUGUCCUCUGGAACUCCCCAAGUUCUGUUGCUUUUUAAUUUUCGAUAAAGUCAUAGAAGCCAGACAGUAGAGGAGCUGUGUCCCUUCUAUCAGAGUCUCUAACAGAAAAGCUGGAGUAGAAGGUGGACUCCUUCUUCACAUCCAUCUCAGCUGUUUCCUCCCCAGCAAGAUGGGAUCUUCCCUGUUCUGAUCUCAGAGCAUGUUGAUUGAGACUCUUCACUUUCAGCACAUUCUGCCAAGGCACUGAUAGUGUAUAUACCUCUCUCCCGCUAGAUUUAGAAAAAGUCUUGUGCUCCUGUUUGUAGCCCCCAUAGAGCAUAUGCUCAGUAUAUAACCAUUAAAUAAUAAUCUGAAUUAUAUUAACAUCCUGAGACUUUUCUGCUUGAUAAUAAGAGGAAAAUUCCUUUGUGACCAAGAUCCCUAGUUCGUGUCUCUGUUAUGUGGAGUUGCUCACUCUUCUGUUUCUAACCAAGGCUGUAUGGUUUAAGGCAAGGUUUUAAAGAGCUGAUUUUUUUUUUCUUUUUAACAAAGUGAAAGUAAGCAGGACUAGUUGUGGGAAUAGGGUUAAUGCAUCACUUAUCAUGAAGCUAUAUUAUCUAAGCGUAUCCAUAACUCUGCGGGCAGGAGGUUGGUAGAGAGCAUCUGAGGAAAGAUUAGAGAAAUUAUUUUCUUAGAAUAUAUUGUGAAUAAAUUGUUUAUGUGUUAUGUAUGUAAACACACACAUAUAUAGGUAUAUAGAGAAAAACACGUAUGGAUUUGCCUGUUAUACACAGAUUUGUCCAUUCAUGUGUACGUGGAUACUGUUCUGAGCAUGUCUUGUGUAUUAUUUAAUCUUCACAGCAGCCCUAUGAGAUGGGCACUUCUAUUUUCUCUAUUUUAUGGUUAAGGAACUGAGGAAUAGGGAAAUGAGGAAAUUUGCUAAGUUUUCUCCAUUAGAAAAGAAAGGAAAUAGAUUUUUACCCCAAGCAAUCUAGCCUCUCGAUGUAGAAUAAGCACAUGUUUUUAUGGGAUAAAUCUGAGUUUCGAUCCUGGCUCUGCUGUUUCAUAAGAACAUGGCCUUGGACAAGUUAUCUCUCUGAGCCUCCUUUCUGCAAGGGAUAAUGGGCAGAUUGGGAGUAAAGUUCUUCAUUCCACUUUAAUUCCCUUAGCUCCUUCUUUGUGGAUAUGUCUUCACUAACAUUACACAACCUGAUGGUGGAAAGAUAGGAGAGUGAUGGCAGAUUUCAACUGAAAUUUCUUGGGCGUUGGUUGUGUAACACAUCAGCUGCUCAGCAUGUCCUUUUCUGGACAUGUUGACGACUUUGCUUUGAAAACUCACUGAGAGAACACUUCAUUCUGACCCAGUGGGAAAGAGCUUGGCAAUAGGAACCUGGUGGGAGUUUGGGAAUGUGAUGGUC